CUUUCAGUAGCUCUCUAGGCCCGGGUACAGGAGGGAGGGAGACGCGCGGAGGUGGGGAGGUGGGUACCCCCAGUCCUUCUACUCUCCUCUCGUGCAGGGGCACCCGGAUUCCCUGGUCCUCUUUUCACCCGACACGCAGACACUCACAGGGGUCCCGGGCCCACCUCUGUCUAGCGGCCGCUCCAGAAAAAGCUGAGGAGGAAUCCCUGGGAGAGCAGAGCAACGCUAUGGAAGCGAGCCGAGAGUCUGACUGACCGGGUGGAGCCGAGCCGCCUGCCGUCUGGAACCGCUCCGUCUACACGGCUACAUGAGAAAUAAACGUGUUUUCUACGUG